rnacentral:ncRNA from 1 species
AUUAAACCAUUCAUGUCUAAGUAUACAGAUUGGUUCAGUGAAACUGCGAAUGGCUCGUUAAAUCAGUUAUAGUUGCUUUGGUCACUUGCUCCUCUCCUACUUGGAUAACUGUGGUAAUUAUAGAGCUAUUCCCUGCCUAAGGUCGCUGACCCUCCUUGAAGGGGAGAUGUGUGCAUUGAUCAGAUCAAAACCAAGGUCGAAACAGAAUUCUUGCUAAAGGAAGGCCAAGGACUUUAGACAUCAAAAGUGGGGAUGAGAAACUUGAUCAGAUAUCAAGAGAUGAUUAGGUAUCCAGGGUGGGGGCACUGUCGAUAAACUGACUCAGCAGGAUUCUUGCUAAGACUGGGCCUGGCAAGGGCAGAACAGACUUGGAAAGCCAGAGUUGAGACCUAGUCAAGAAGAGGGCU